AGUGAACGCUGGCGGUAGGCCUAACACAUGCAAGUCGAACGGCAGCACAGUAAGAGCUUGCUCUUACGGGUGGCGAGUGGCGGACGGGUGAGGAAUACAUCGGAAUCUACUUUUUCGUGGGGGAUAACGUAGGGAAACUUACGCUAAUACCGCAUACGACCUACGGGUGAAAGCAGGGGAUCUUCGGACCUUGCGCGAUUGAAUGAGCCGAUGUCGGAUUAGCUAGUUGGCGGGGUAAAGGCCCACCAAGGCGACGAUCCGUAGCUGGUCUGAGAGGAUGAUCAGCCACACUGGAACUGAGACACGGUCCAGACUCCUACGGGAGGCAGCAGUGGGGAAUAUUGGACAAUGGGCGCAAGCCUGAUCCAGCCAUACCGCGUGAGUGAAGAAGGCCUUCGGGUUGUAAAGCCCUUUUGUUGGGAAAGAAAAGCAGCAGGUUAAUACCCCGCUGUUCUGACGGUACCCAAAGAAUAAGCACCGGCUAACUUCG
rnacentral:rRNA from 1 species